rnacentral:lncRNA from 1 species
UGGGAUUAAGCUCUGAUUUUUGACAUGAGCUUGCAGAUUGUUUUGAGGCGCGAACCGCCCUUUUAUGCAAUAGUACACAUAGCUGGAUGCUGGCCCUGUUUUUGAGUUUGUUUUUGUUUGACAAGCUUCUCAAGGUGUGUGGAGAAGCUAAGGUUUUUCCAGGUGAAAAUAAGGUUUAAAGGUCUAUGGAAUAUCAGCUAAAAAGAGACAGAGAGAACUAGAUAAGAGUCUUAUCAUAAUACUCUGCUUUUCUCUGUUGUCAAGCAUUCCAACGAGAUGACAAUUACCAUCUGCAGUCUUGAGCAUGUUGUGCAUGCAAUUGGUCACCAUAGCCCUUGGAGUCUAGCUUCAAUAACUCUGAUUUUUAACACGAG